rnacentral:rRNA from 1 species
GAUUGCAGGCUGCAACUCGCCUGCAUGAAGUCGGAAUUGCUAGUAAUCGCGGAUCAGCAUGCCGCGGUGAAUACGUUCCCGGGCCUUGUACACACCGCCCGUCACACCAUGGGAGCCGGUAAUACCCGAAGUCAGUAGUCCAACCUCGUGAGGACGCUGCCGAAGGUAGGAUUGGCGACUGGGGUGAAGUCGUAACAAGGUAUC